rnacentral:lncRNA from 1 species
GAAUUCCUGUAGUUGAAGAAUGAGAUUUUGUAUGGUACAUUUUUAAUGACAGCUUGGAUAUUGGAAUACUUAACUUUUGUUGUAGCCAAUGAGAAGGAUAUACCACUAAUGGUAUCUAAAUCAUACAGCAUGUACUUUAGGAUGGGGACAGUAUCACAAUGAUUUAUUUCUUUACAUGUGAGUACACUGUUGGUGUCUUCAGACAUACCAGAAGAUGACUUCAGAUCCCAUUACAUAUGGGUUGUGAGCUACCAUGUGGUUUCAGGGAUUUGAACUCUGGAUCUCUGGAAGAGUAGUCAGUGCUUGUAACCUCUGAGCCAUCUUUCUAGCCUCCCCCCUGCUAUCUUUUAGAAAUGUAAUUUGCCAUACCUUGAGCAAUGUUCUUGAUGUCAUAGGAUAUUUUACAGAUAACUUCACUUAAGAUAAUUAGAAUAAA